AGCGAACGCUGGCGGCAGGCCUAACACAUGCAAGUCGAACGAAGUCUUCGGACUUAGUGGCGGACGGGUGAGUAACACGUGGGAACGUGCCCUUUGGUACGGAAUAACUCAGGGAAACUUGAGCUAAUACCGUAUGUGCCCUUCGGGGGAAAGAUUUAUCGCCAUUGGAGCGGCCCGCGACUGAUUAGCUAGUUGGUGAGGUAAAGGCUCACCAAGGCGACGAUCAGUAGCUGGUCUGAGAGGAUGAUCAGCCACAUUGGGACUGAGACACGGCCCAAACUCCUACGGGAGGCAGCAGUGGGGAAUCUUGCGCAAUGGGCGAAAGCCUGACGCAGCCAUGCCGCGUGAAUGAUGAAGGUCUUAGGAUUGCAAAAUUCUUUCACCGGGGACGAUAAUGACGGUACCCGGAGAAGAAGCCCCGGCUAACUUCGUGCCAGCCGCCGCCGUAA
rnacentral:rRNA from 1 species